CAUCAUUUAAAGAAAGCGUAAUAGCUCACUGGUCGAGUCGGCCUGCGCGGAAGAUGUAACGGGGCUAAACCAUGCACCGAAGCUGCGGCAGCGACGCUUAUGCGUUGUUGGGUAGGGGAGCGUUCUGUAAGCCGUUGAAGGUGUGCUGUGAGGCAUGCUGGAGGUAUCAGAAGUGCGAAUGCUGACAUAAGUAACGAUAAAGCGGGUGAAAAGCCCGCUCGCCGGAAGACCAAGGGUUCCUGUCCAACGUUAAUCGGGGCAGGGUGAGUCGACCCCUAAGGCGAGGCCGAAAGGCGUAGUCGAUGGGAAACAGGUUAAUAUUCCUGUACUUGGUGUUACUGCGAAGGGGGGACGGAGAAGGCUAUGUCAGCCGGGCGACGGUUGUCCCGGUUUAAGCAUGUAGGCGGAGGUUCCAGGUAAAUCCGGUACCUUAUUAACGCUGAGGUGUGAUGACGAGGCACUACGGUGCUGAAGUGAUAAAUGCCCUGCUUCCAGGAAAAGCCUCUAAGCAUCAGGUAACACGAAAUCGUACCCCAAACCGACACAGGUGGUCAGGUAGAGAAUACCAAGGCGCUUGAGAGAACUCGGGUGAAGGAACUAGGCAAAAUGGUGCCGUAACUUCGGGAGAAGGCACGCUGAUA
rnacentral:rRNA from 1 species